GGCGCGGCUCGCGUUCAGCCAAUCCGGAGCCGGAGGGCUUCCCUUUUGGACCAAUCAGGAGAAGCCGGCUCUCCUGCGGUUCCGCACCCAGGCGGGCUGCACCGUAUCUCCACCAAUUCUGUGCGCGGCAUUGCGAUUGCACCCGCCCAUCUUGACUGACAUAUCCCUGGGCCCAAUCGAAGGCUCGAGGACUUUCACAGCCGGUCAGGAUAGUUACCAAUAUCCGACCAAUAGGCGCGCUCCCCCCAAAUGGAGGCUACUUCGUCCUCCCUAAUCCACCUGAAAAAGCGAUGGGGUGAAAUAAUUGACGGACAGUCCCCGUUUCCAAUCGGAGCGCUGAGCGCAGUCUGGCCAGCCUAUGGGGCUCGGUUGCUAAAGAAGCGAAAGGCGGGCUUCUCAGAUGCAGAAAGUACCGUGUGACCGAGGGUCACGGGAACUGAAGGGCAUUUGAGUUUAUUUAUAAGACUGCUAAGGAGAAUAAUUGUGCUUACAUCCCGAAGUGGGCAUCUCCAGUGGGAAAUUCUGCAUUUGGGACCUCCUGAAUGCUAGAAGUUGAACUUGAAUAUAUACAGUGGAAACUGGAGUGGGAAGAACACAGCUGUGAGUAGAAACAAGGCAACUUGUAGUGUAUUUGUACUGUGACCGGCUCCCUCA